rnacentral:rRNA from 1 species
CAGCCGCCGCGGUAAUACGUAGGGUGCAAGCGUUAAUCGGAAUUACUGGGCGUAAAGCGUGCGCAGGCGGUUCGCUAAGACAGAUGUGAAAUCCCCGGGCUUAACCUGGGAACUGCGCUUGUGACUGCACAGCUAGAGUAUGGCAGAGGGGGGUGGAAUUCCACGUGUAGCAGUGAAAUGCGUAGAGAUGUGGAGGAACACCGAUGGCGAAGGCAGCCCCCUGGGCCAAUACUGACGCUCAUGCACGAAAGCGUGGGGAGCAUACAGGAUUAGAUACCCCCGUAGUCCCUGUCUCUUAUAC